rnacentral:lncRNA from 1 species
UCAGGCGGGCGCGGAGCGGCGCGGAGUGACAAAGCCGCCGCUGCCGCCGCCGGGGGUGGGAGCAGCGCUCGCCCGCCCGCCCCUCGAUUCGCGAGGGCGUAAAAGUUUGUCUCAGCUCGAGCAUUCCUAGUGCCAACAUGCCCUCAGGUAAAGGUGGAAGUAAAUGGCCACGCUGUAUUGACAGAGGUAGGGUUUGUUUUUUAAUACUCGUUCUCACUUUAAGUCUCACCAGGGAGGGGUUUGGGAAGCACUGCGUGUUUGGGGGACGUUUUGCGCUUCCCGGUCUCUCCAGCCUACAAGUCGGGAGUCGGCGACCGCUUAGUGAUGAGAGAUGAUUUUAAAGAGCAGAAUAAAAGGCUUUCCCGUGUCUGCCCCACAGCCCCUCCAGCUCGAAUAAUGGAGAACUGUCAAUGCACUCCGCGAGCGGUGGCCCAUUGUAGCAGCUGAUGGCGAGGAGGCGACUGGGGGUGGCAGGGGCUCCUUGCCCUCGCCCUUAUGCCCAAAUAAACGCGCAAACGCGCUUACAUCUUCUGGUCAGUUAAAAGGUGAAACGAACACGAUUAAAGUAGACCAAAAGCAAAGAAAGAAAAGAAAAUCUUUCUACGUACAGAUUCUAAAUCGUACUCCCCAUACAGUCAGAGGCAGGCAGUCGAGGGCAGAGGCAGCAGGCGGAGAGAGGGAGAUAGGGUGAGGGAAGGAGAACGCGGAGAGAGACGGAGGGAGUGGGAGACGAGCAACAGCGAGCGCCAGGGCACCGCAGGCACACUGGAUGCCAGGUCCGCCGGCCCAGCCGCGCUCGGACCCUGGACCGUGCGUCGUGGGCACCAGAAACGAGACUCGGCCAAAUCCUGCCUCACCAGGUAGAUGAAAGUCAAGAGAAAAGGUGUGGAUAAAUGAAACUAGCCCAUGAUAAGCCUGUUUUCUCCGUGACCACAAUAUGAAGCAGGAUGAUGGUGGUGAAACAGUCACAAAUGGAAUAUCAAGAAACAUGCUAUCACCAGGUAUUAUCUACUGCUGUCUGCAGAAUUCAGACAUGGAGGGCUCAAUGGUGUCCCCUGGUCUUUGGAACAUUCUGUAUUUUAAUGAUCAUGGGGAUGCUGGUAGCUACCCCAAACAGAGGUAUUUUGGGGUCAAAUGGUAUAGUGCUGGCCCCUUAGGAUUUCCUGGCAGGCACGCCGGAUGGCUCGUUUCUGGACACUCAUCGUGAUGAUGAUGAUGAUGAUGAUGAUGAUGAUGAUGAUGAUAAAGCAAGGGAGACAGUGACAACACAAAAAGGUGCCUGAGAAAUUGGAUUCCAGGUAGGUCUAGAUUUGGCAGAACUGACAGGUUCAGUUCACUAAGCUUUGGUAUUGAUAAUGACGGGAAACUUCAGACAGUUUUAGAAAUCUGUUUCUAUUAAGAUAUGCCAUGGCAUUUAUGCAACAUGAGAACAAGUUUA